GACGAACGCUGGCGGUGUGCCUAACACAUGCAAGUCGAACGGUAAGGCCCUUUCGGGGGUCCACGAGUGGCGAACGGGUGAGUAACACGUGAGUAACCUGCCCUCAUCUCUGGGAUAACAGUCGGAAACGGUUGCUAAUACUGGAUAUGAGCUUGCAAGGCAUCUUGUGGGUUGGAAAGAUUUUUUUUGGUUGGGGAUGGACUCGCGGCCUAUCAGCUUGUUGGUGAGGUAGUGGCUCACCAAGGCUUCGACGGGUAGCCGGCCUGAGAGGGCGACCGGCCACAUUGGGACUGAGAUACGGCCCAAACUCCUACGGGAGGCAGCAGUGGGGAAUAUUGCACAAUGGACGGAAGUCUGAUGCAGCAACGCCGCGUGCGGGAUGACGGCCUUCGGGUUGUAAACCGCUUUCAAUUGUGACGAAGCUUUUUUGUGACGGUAGCAGUAGAAGAAGCACCGGCUAACUACGUG
rnacentral:rRNA from 1 species